AUUGAACGCUGGCGGCAGGCCUAAUACAUGCAAGUCGAACGAGUGGCGGACGUGUGAGUAAUGUCUGUGAAACUGCCUGAUGGAGGGGGAUAACUCCUGGAAACGGUAGCCAAUACCGCAUACCAUCAGAUCUUCCCUGAGGGGAUUAGCUAGUUGGUGGGGUAACGGCUCACCAAGGGGCAAAUCCCUAGCUGGUCUGAGAGGAUGACCAGCCACACUGGAACGGGGACACGGUACAGACUCCUACGGGAGGCAGCAGUGGGGAAUAUUGCACAAUGGGCGCAAGCCUGAUGCAGCAAUGCCGCGUGGAUGAAGAAGGCCUUCGGGUGGUAAAGUACUUUGAGCGGGGAGGCGGUACCCGCAGAAGAAGCACCGGCUAACUCCGUGCCAGCAGCCGCGGUAAUUC
rnacentral:rRNA from 1 species